AUCGGCAAUGGACGAAAGUCUGACCGUGCGACGCCGCGUGAGGGAUGAAGCCUUUCGGGGUGUAAACCUCUUUUGUUCCGACAUAUGUCGGGAAGAAUAAGCGUCUACUAACUACGUGCCAGCAGUCGCGGUAAAACGUAGGACGCAAGCGUUAUCCGGAUUUAUUGGGCGUAAAGGGUCGCGUAGGCGGUCCGAUGCAUCAUAUUUUAAAUGGCUCCGCUUAACGGGGUCCCGGAUAUGAGAUGAUCGGACUUUGAGAUUUAGAGGGGUUUCUGGAACUUCCGGUGUAGCAGUGAAAUGCGUUGAUAUCGGAAGGAACACCAAGAGCGUAGGCAGGAAACUGGCUAAAUUCUGACGCUGAGGCACGAAAGCUAGGGGAGAGAAGCAGAUUAGAGACCUGCGUAUUCCUAGCUGUAAACGCAUGAGUGCUAGUUGUCCGGCCGUAAGGCUGGAUGACGCAAGUUAACACGUUAAGCACUCCGCCUGGGGAGUACGGCCGCAAGGCUAAAACUCAAAGGAAUUGGCGGGGACCCGCACAACCGGUGGAGCAUGUGGUUUAAUUCGAGACGAAGCGAAAGACCUCACCACGGUUUGACAUGCUACCGUUUAAUCUGAUAGAAACAUCGGAAGAUCCCGAUUUAUCGGGAUGGUAGCAAAGCUGCUGCAUGGCUGUCGUCAGCUCGUUCCGUGAGGAGUUCCCUUAAGUGGGGUAACGAGCGCAACCCUUGCCGUUUGUUAAAUAUUCAAACGGGACGGUCCCGACGUACGUCGGGAAGGAAGGUGAGGACGACGUCAAGUCAGCACGGCGCUUAUGCCGUGGGCGACACACAUCCUACAAUGGCGAAAAACAGCGGGUUGCAACCUCGUGAGGGGAAGCAAAUCCCUGAAAUUUCGUCUCAGUUGGGAUUGGAGUCUGCAACUCGACUCCAUGAACGCGGAAUCGGUAGUAAUCGCGGAUCAGCAGGUCGCGGUGAAUACGUUCUCGGGUCUUGCACACACCGCCCGUCAAGCCAACAAAGUCGUGGGCGGCCGAAGCUCCCCCGCAUCGCGGGGGAAUUAAGCCGAAUUCGGCGAUGGGGACUAAGUCGUAACAAGGUAUCUGUACUGGAAGGUGCAGAUG
rnacentral:rRNA from 1 species